rnacentral:lncRNA from 1 species
CUAGUUACAAGUCAAUUUUAAUAAAACUUAAUUUGAAAACGUUUUCAUUUUUUUGAAAAUGAGAGAACUAUAUUUAUGGACUUACAGUCACAUGUUUAAUAACACUAAUCAGAUUUUUUGGAUAAAUAUGUGAUGAGACUACUCACACAAGGAUAUGUCUAUUGUCUUUACAUCAUAGAGUAGUAGUACUCAUACUCUACUACAUAGAACCAUGAUUAUAGGUUUAUCAAUUAUCGUGCGCAGGACAGUAGAGCAUCACGUCUUAUCAUUUUGUUGUUAUCAUUUAAUACGAUUAUACGUUAUCAAAUUUAAUUUUCUUCAAUAUUUUUACAAAUAUAUAACCAUACAAAACAAAAUAUAUUGAUGCGUUCACGUCGUUAACAGGGAAUUAAAAAUAAAUUACUUAUUUAAUAUGUAUCUAAUAAACUAGAAUUGUAAGUUGCCCUUCGUUGGUAUCUGUUUACAUUUAAUUAUAUAAUUUUUAUAUAUUUUUAAACUAAUAAAUGAAAAAUUGUUAUAGUUAACAGCAAACAAGGUAAAAUAUUCACCAUAGUUCAGUUCGGGUUCGUUAAAAUUUGAAAAAGUUUGGUUCAGGUACCGUUCGACUUCAAAAAUCUGGAUUCGUAACAUCACUUAUUAAUAAUUUAUAUAACUAAUAAUGACGUAACUUUGCACCUAAUAUUUUGCUUUUUAAACCUAAAAUAUACACUGUCACUUUUAUAAUUAUGAUAGCAUUUUACAAAUGUUCGUGGGAGCAUUUGACAUUAUUGAGAAUUUUAAAUAAUUAUAGAUCUCAUAUACUAACGUUCAUUAACAUAUAAUUUAUAAAUAUUCCAUAUACCUAUAAUGAGUUGCCAAUAUUCCAAAUUUUCUUUUACAUAAUGUAUCAUUAUUAUGAAUUAUAUAAUUGUCAUUGAUAAAUAAAUAAAAUUAUAAUUGUAAUUUAAAAAGUAAUACAAUUUUAAAUGAAAAAUAAAUAUAAAAUAAUGGUGUUUUGAAUGUAUAAUAUAUUGAAAUAAUUUUUACCGUUGAAACAUCUUUCCACAUUCAGUUUUCUGUUUCUUUUUCUUAUGGUAUUUUGGUAAGUCUAAUAAUGUUAAUAAAUGCUUCAAAGAUUAGGCUGUUCUCUUUAUUCUCCAUCCAAUAUUUUUAGCUACUCUAACAAUUUUCUUUUAUGUCUAUUACAUAUAUUAUUCAAUCAUUUUUUUUAAAAAUUCACAAUAUUUUUCAGCUAUUUUUUUGUACUCUGUUUUUAACAUUUUAUCAUUUUGGUUAUUAGAAAUAGUGUUUAAUGAAUUAUUACCAUUAUUCUGACCAACAGUAAUUAUUUCUUGUAGUAUAUGUGUAUUAUUUAUGAUGUAUAGUGUACCUUGGGUCAGCAGAUAUGAAUGGAUUAUUUUUAAAUUUUUUAGGUAGACUGUCAAAUAAAUAUCUAGGUAUGUAAAGAAAUAUUGCACAUAUAUGUUUACAGGAUCAACCAAAUUGUAUAAAAUCGGAACAUGAGCAACGUGGUACCUAGAAGUUAACUUGGUAAAUAUUUGUUCCAUCUUUACUAAAUACAUUCAAAUUAUUUAAUUCUAAUUUUAUAAUUUUCUUUUCAGAAUAUAUAUUUUAGGCAGUUGAAAAUUGCCUAUAGACAUAGGCAAUUUGACAUAUAUACUGUAUAUAUCUAAACUGACAGAUUACCAGAAAAGACAGUUUAAGAGAAGAACACUUGAUACAAUUGAUUCAAUUUUGGAUGAUUCGACUAUACAGACCACUAUUUCAUAUGUUCAACGACCUUUAUCCAGCUACUCUGGAAGUUUAUAUUCAGUACUGAGUCCUGAGCCAUCUGGGACGCCUGUAUUUAAACAGUUAGAAAAUUUGCAUUCAGAAGACUACAAACAAAUUAAUAAUAAUCCAAAACAGUACAAAAUUACUUCCAUACCUUUACUGAUUAGGAUGUAAUUGCAUUUAAUUUAAAAUAAAUAUUAAAAUUUAAUAUUACCUGAGUGUUAUUAGUAAUUUUUCUGUUGUACUUAUAGCAUCUCUGUAAUUAGUAUCUCGUUUUGUAAUACUCAAUUCAAUUUAAUUCAAAAGUUUUUGAAAAGUAUCUGUGAUAAGUUCAUUCUAUAACAGCUUUUGAACUGCAAAGGAUGAAGUUUAAGUUCAUCUACACACAUAUUUGCACCAUAUUUGACAAGCUGUUUAAACCCUGAUUUAAUCAAAUAUUUAUGGUUUUCAUUUUUUAAUUUUCUCCUUCUUAAAAACCACCAGAAGAAAAUAUCAUCCUCAUCAGAUGAUGACAUGGUUGCUACUGUGGUACUUCUAUUUGAAAGCUAUGGGCAAUACGUAUUGUCUGUUGAAUAUUGUUAGUUGCUAUAGUUGUAUAGUUGCUCGAUGCCUAUUGCUCUGGUGUGAGAGUUACUUUAAACUUAACUGGACAUUGUAAGAUCUGGUCUAAUACUGGUAACAUUAUUUAAACAAGAGAAUGAGAUAUUAACAAUAUAAUUAUUUAAUUGGUCUG